UGUUAAUUUGAUCAUCCUGAUACAGUAGCGGCCUAAUAAUUUUUUUUUUUUUAACUUCAGAACGUUUAUUUCAUAUCCAGGAACCCUUCCCAAGAAACUCGCCAGCUCUCAAAUGUGGAAAGAAAUAGAUGCGCUCUAGUUGUGAUAUAACAAACAAGAUUCCAAAUAGAUUAACGAACAAUUUUCUGGUCCAUCAUCAUCAAUAAAGUUCAUAUUUCAUACAUCUUCCUUAUUUUAUAUUAAGAAAUAAUCCAGUUUUAUAUUCACAGGCGUGUAAAAGUUAUAGAAUAAACAAACAAAAUCAUGAUUUUUUCUUAAUUACAGAAAAUUUAUUAAACUAAAAUUUGAAUAUAUAUGGUCUAUCAUUGGGUUAGUCAUAUGUAAACACACAAAAAUAUUCUACCCUUAUAAUUUUAUGUUUAAUGAUCAUGUUUUAGUUCGAUCAUAUAUAAAUAAUAUCUACUAAACAUAUUUUUGAUAUAUCAAUUUUAAUUUUUCUUUUUAAAUUCAAUAAAAUCAUUUUGUUUCUUAACUUUCCAAUCAGUAUAUAAAGGAAACAACGCGCUAUCUGUAUUUUAGGAAUGAAACUAUGUUGACUUUGCUUAGAAUUAUUAAUGAAACUGAUUCCAAUAAUUAUUAAUUAAACAUUAUAUUGAUUGAUUUACAAGAGAGAGAACAAAAUAUAAAAGGGAAACUAAUAUUAAAACAAAGGAUUUUUUUCUGUUUCGGUUAGCGCCUAUUUACCUGUGAGCUUACACACACUCUGUGGUAACAAUUAAUUAAUAUAUAUACACCAAACUAUUUAGAGAGCGUUUAUUAAAAAAAACUGUCCUUAGAGAUAGAAAAAAUGUUAGGAGGUCGUGGACAAUUGGUGAUGAACAUUCUCUCAGCAAUUUUGUCAAUUUAUUCUACCAGAUAGCUCUAUGAUAUUGUAUGAACGAGGCCUGAAUGACGACACCAUCUUGGUGUCUACCAAGACAUGUUUCUACAAGUCUCAUCUCAACAUUGAACUGAGAGCGGUUCAAAUUGAUCCUGUCCUUGUCUGGAGGGGGACAAGAUGGAGGAGCCUCCCUUCCUGAGAACAGCUUUUUAUAUUUGAUCACCAAAUUAUAUUUUUUUUAAUUUCUCUUUAAUAAUUGUAACAAUUAACUAAGGGUGUCAAUAUAAUAUUUUAAAUUGAUAAUUUUAUUAGAGGCACACGCACUCUCUCGAUAAAAGUCCAUCGGUGGCGGAGUGUUUCCCGCGGUGGGCGCCACCAAUGACGAUAUGUAUAUAUAUAUAUAUAUAGAUAUAUAUGUGGUAUAUGGGAAAAGGAUCCUGAGAAUCUUAUCGACUCUCUAUAAUAUAAAAAAAAAUGCUUGUCGACUUCACUGUGAUAAAGUGCUUUGUCCUGAGAAUCCUCGGGAGUGGAUGGGAUUUUGUUUGUUUGGGCAGUCGUUAUCAAUGGCGGUGGAUGAAAAAAUCGGCACACUAUAUCGAUUAAUGAAUCACAAAACACCUCGGAAUAUUAAUCAUUGGCGGCUCGGGAGAGGAGAUGGAAGGAUUUUCGCGAUUAAAUUGGAUUGAGAUGACUCACAUCUUGGACCUCGAGGCACUACUUUUAGAAGAUCCACACACACGUCUUGACACACACGUUGCCGACCGAACUCUGGUUGCCCCGCCCCCUGGCUUGGGUCAUGUGGGACCCUGCUUGACCUUUGAUUGGUCCCUGUCUCUGUCGGCCAUGAUGGUAAAUUUGGUCGGGAAGAAGCUUGGCCUAACAUCCCAAUCUCUCAGGACAUUCAACUCUGGAAUAUGAGGGCCUCUUUGUUCUAAGUGACCUAGAUACACGACUUGGAUCUGUCGUUCUUUUCUCUUCUACUUCUUCCAUCUCCUCUUCCUUUGACUGCCAUCUUUAUUGAUUCCAUACAGAAUACAUUAUAUCCAACAUGGUACAUAAUUAUUUAUUAGACAAUAUUCUUUAUAAUAUUACAGAUGCGCCCCCUAUGAAUAAGAAUUUUAAAAGGGAUCUGUAUUAAAUUCUGAAAAAAGAAAAAUAAUUUUUUGGGAAAGAAAAAAAAAUAAAAUUUUUUUAAAAUAGUGAGUGGUUAGAUACAAUUGGGGAGAAAGUAAAUGAUGGAAAUAAGUAAAAAAAAGAAAUUUGAGUAGAUAGGGGUGCUUGCUAAACUAGGAAAAAAUAUGAUAAUUUUUUGGAGAAAAAAAAAAAUCUUGCCUGCAUAGGUGUUCAAUCUUGCUGUGUGGAAACCCACAGCAAGGGAAACUCUAUGAGGUGCAAUCCAACCAAAACAUAUAAGACAUUAACAGAAAUAAAAAGAAAACUAUAGACAAUAAAAUUUUGGUGAUGGAGGGAAAAAAAAAGAAAAAGAAAUCUGAUUAGCCUUUGGGGCGGUGAAAAAAUAUAAACAAAACAUAAAAAAAAGAAAUCAAAGCUCCUGUAUGAUAACUGAAGGCUGAUACAUGAGAAGUAUUGCGUCAGGUCAGUUGUUCAUUCAGUUAGGACAAAACAAGGUUUAAACAAUAAAAGGAAAAAAAAUAAACUUGAGGUGAUUAAGAAAUUGAAAGGGUGAUAGACAUGGAUGGUGGGAAUAAAAAAAAUAAAAAUAAAAAAAAUAAAAGUGCUGGUUGUGUACAAGUCCUUUAAAAUUGGUUAACAAAAAUAUACACAAAAGAAGAAUAUUAUUUUUUUUUUUUUACAUAACAAUGUCCAAUCUUUGUUUAUUAUAGGGUCGUAGGUCAUAAGGUUGCCAAAACUAUAUAGGUGCGUGAAUGUAUGCGAGUGUGUGUGAGUGUAUGUUCCAGAAAGUAACUUUAAGUGUGGUGACACGCGAAAAGUGACGGCGGGUUUGUUUACAUUCAGCAGGGAGGAUGUGACGUCGGUCACGUGCGGAAGGUUUCUGUAAAGUGGACGCCAGCUGACAGCGGGGUGAUCGACGAGUGUUUGUAAAGGUGGGGAGAUUGCUAUUCGACUUGGCGCGCUCUAAAGAGGGUUUGGAAAAUCUCUCCUAUGAUUUCACCUAUUAGAGCGACCAAGGCAUGACUGUGGACAAGGAUGGUCCAUAACUCCGGGAGAAUUAUUCCUAUGGUUCGAUGGAUUAGUUCCACUACGGCGAUGGUUAUUUCGAAUAGGGCUUCCUGUAGUUGGAAGAGACGGUUGGGCUGCAGUGUAUAGACACUGACAUACAGUAGGGUGGCCAUGGGUAAUAGUACAGUGGGUAGGAUGAAAAGGUUGAUGAGGUAUAGGAGGUGGAACAAGGGGAAGGUUUUCACGUUACGAAAAAACCUUGCCUGUAAGGGAAUUGGUUUGGGAUCAGCCCUAACUGUAGGGAUUGGGGUUUUAACUUUGGUUAUAUGGGUUGGACGGGAUAUUGCAGGUUGGGGAAUAUCGCGUUGGGCGAUAAUGUUACAUUGUGGGUCAACAGGGGUGGUAGUGGUACAAUUGCCUAUUGUAGGAGCAAAGCGCUCAACUGUAAAGAGGUCUGGGGUGAGGUGCUCGAACAGUGGUGGUAGCGUCUUAGAUUGGGGUUUAGCAGGGUGUGGUAUCAGAGUGGGAGGUGCGAUAUAACGAAUAUUUUCGUUAUAGUACUGUAAUUUAUUUACAUGGACUGUGUCGGUAUUCCGAUUUAGAGGUUGGUUGGGUCGGUUUAUUCUCACCACGUUGGGAGAGAUUAUCUCUAAGAUCUCGUAGGGACCCGUGAAAUACGGAGCCAGUUUGCCUGUAUUGGGGUGAUGGUAAACUUUUACCAACACGAGAUCUCCGGGUUCAAAAUGGGGUGUCUUAUGUUGUUGGUCGUAGGCAUGUUUGUCUUUGAGGUGCUUGGCCUGGGUACGUUCAUGGGCUAUCCGUCGGGCUGUGGUUAAAACGGGGUAGGGGUUUACAUGCUCAGUGAGCUCGGGAGGUAGAACGCCGAACAUCAGGUAGCCAGGUGGGAACCCGGUAACUGAGUGGGGCGUGUUGUUAUACACCACAGUAACGCGCUUCGCCAGCUUAGUCCAUGCGGCUUUGGGGUUUUCCAAAUGGAGUAACCUUAGUUUGCCUGUUAAGGUAGCGUUCAGGCGCUCGCAUAGACCAUUAGCUUGGGGGUUGUUACUGGUGGUGAGCAGGGGAUGGAUGUUCCUGUUAAUCAGGAACUUCCUGAACUUUGGUGAGGUGAACGCAGGCGCUCUAUCCGUGAGUAGGCGUUUCGGAGAGCCGUCCUGCAACACUCGCUUUAUCACCUGUUGAUAGGUGGUGAUGCUGGUAGAUUUUGAGGGGAAGGUCCACGUGUAGCGCGAAAAGUGAUCCACCACAACGUGGAGGUAAGUUUUGGCGUUACCAUAUUUGGCAAGUCCAGCUAUGGUGUCGAGGGCGACCAGAUCAAAAGGCUGAGUGGCCACAGGAAGUUGUCCUAGUUCCCCAAACGUGGGACCUCGAGGGGGUUUUGUUGACUGACAGAUGGCGCAGGCUUUGGUGGUUUUGGAGAUGUCUUCUGACAUCCCCUUCCAGUAGUACUGGGGAGAGAUGAGCCUGGUCAUCUGGGAUAUGCCCGGGUGGUUGUACCGACUGUGCACCUUUGUUAGUAGGUCGGGAACGAGGGCGUCAGGGACGACAAUUUUGGUUACACCUCUACGCUUUAGGGUUUGCAGUCCGUUUCGAUCAAUGGUCAGUUUAGAUUCUCCCGAAGGAGUGAGUUGGUGGUUCUUUAUGAUGGUGGCGUCUAAGAAUCCACAAAACGGGUUACGGGAUAGGAGGUCCGCUUCAUGUUGUAGUGAUCCUUUUAUGUAGCGGACUUCGUAUUCGUAACACGAUAACCUCAAACUCCAUCGGAAUAAUCUGCCUGACGGGUUUUUGAUCGUCUUCAGCCACUGCAGUGCGUGAUGGUCAGAAAAUAUGGUGAAUUUUCUGCCCAUUAGAUACACACGGAACUUCUCCACGCUCUCGACAAUGGCGAGGCAUUCUAGUUCGGAGAUGGUGUAGUUCCGCUCGUGUACACGCAGAGCGCGGCUGAAAUAUUGGACUGGGUAGGCCUUCCCAGCGGAGUGGACUUGUUUGAGGACGCCUGCAAUGCCAAGUGUUGAUGCAUCGCAAUAUACCUGGCAUGGUAGUUCAUCCUUGUAGAGGUGCAAUACGGGGUGUUGUGUGAGGCUUUCCUUCAGGCUGGUGAACGCCUUUUGGCAUUUGUCAUCCCAGUCCCACGUCACAUCCUUCUUGAGAAGGUUGUUGAGUGGGGUCCGCAAACGGGCAUAGUCCGGGAUGAACUUAUUAUAGACGUUCACGGCGCCUAAGAAGGAUUGCAGCGUUUUGCGAUUGUUCGGGGGUGGGAUAGCGUGGAUUACGUCGGUAUUGCGGAUAAGUGGGGUGGUGGUACCAGCGGUGAUUGUGUACCCCAGAAAUUCGAUGGUCUGCCUAAAAAACUCGCAUUUGGUGAGGUUGAGUUGCAAGUUCUCCGCGUCGCAGAACGCGAAAAACCUGCGCAGGUGUUCUUGGUGUUCCUCCAGUGUCUCCGAAUAUAUGACAAAGUCGUCAAAAUAGUGCGCCACACAAUCAAGUCCGUGCCCCUGCAGGACCUGAUUGAUUGCCCUUUCAUAGAUCUGUGGACUGGUCUUAAGUCCGAAAGGCAAUCGGGUGGGCUGAUACAACCCGUCUAUCGUGGCGAAGGCCAACAGUGGUCGCGAAUCAGGGUGUAUCGGCACUUGCCAAUAUGCGGAGGAGACGUCGGCAGUCGAGAAAUACUUGGCCCGCGCGAGACGGUCCAGUAUAUCUUCGAUCCUCGGGAGUGGAUGGACAUCGGAGCUUAUGACCUCGUUCACCUUCCUAUAGUCGAUACAAAACCUUUUGGUCUUGUCUCGCUUGGUCACUAGGGUGACCGGGCUAGAGAAAGGGGAGUAGGACGGCUCAAUGAUGUCAUUAUCCAACAUCUGUCGGAUCUGACUGCGUAUUUCCCGUUGGUCGCAUAUCGGUACCCUAUAUGGGCGGAUGGUGACGACUUUGUCGGAGUUGGUGGCGAUUCUUACUGGGGGAACCUUUAGGCAUGGGACCGCGAAUUUGUUCCGGGAGAACACGUGUUGGUAUUGGCGCAAUAGCGCCGGGAAUUGAGGUGGAUACGGUGGCUGCGGUUGAUUGUCUAUGGGGAUCCCUGGGAGGUGUUCUGGUGAUGUUGGGUGGUGUGUGUGGUACAUGGAAUGGUGUGUGGAAUGGGGAUGUUUGGGUGUAUGGUGAAGGUGGUCCGUUUGGACCUUGGUGGGGUGUGAGAGGUUGGCAUUGGGUGGUUGUUCUGGUACCUUGACCCUAUAAUAAGAGCAGUUGGCUCUAAAAAAGUUCUUUGAUUGGACAUGGUGCGGUGGUUGGGUGAGUCCCUGGGUUGUGGACGUGUUGUCCGAAAAAUGCGCAUAUUGGGUAUUGUUGGCGGAAGGCGGAAAAAUAGUGUGGGCCUUGCAUAGGUCCGCCUGGCAUUCCCAAUAUGUGCACCUUUCGGGCAACACAGCAAAGUGGUAGGUCAGGGGCGACAAAGGUGCAUCGAGUUGGUACAUAGUGCCAUGUGCAAAAUCGAUUUUUAAUUUGAAUUUACGGAGGGUAUUAAUACCAAGUAUUCCAAAUGGUAGAGGGGCGUCCACCACGUGGAAUACUUCGUUUUGGGUUAUUGCAUGAAUGGAUAGGGGGAAGGUAAUCUGGCCUAUUGUUGGCACGUGGCCAUCUAUUGUCUGUAAAUUUAUUAUUUUUUUAGUUAUUAAAUUUAGGUCAGGGAAAUUAUUCUUUAAAUUUUUAUAUAUGGCACAUGACACUAGGUUAACGGACGCACCCGUGUCUAUCAGGAAUGGUAGGGACAGUCCAUGGGAGAUUGGCAAUCUAAUUGUCAGGUUGACGAAAGGCCUGGUCAGUAGGCCUACCUGCUGGCUGCUGGUCUGGGGCUCCCUUGGUUAUCCCAGUGGCUUGUGCGCGUGACGCUUGGUGAUGGGGCUGGGCUCGCGGCCGUUGUUCCGCUAGUUGCGCGGAGCGCGCUGCUCGUGCGUCUCCGGAGGCACGGGGCAACUGCGGGGCUUGUCUGAGACGACACUCAGAGUGCCAGUGUAGUCCACCACAAAAACGGCAGUCUGUUGGCGGGGUCGACCUGGUUGGCACUGUUCUUGGACUAGGUCGCACCGGUGCGUAGGGGCCCAGUAGGGGUGGUGCGUGCUCGUCUGGGUGCCUGGGAGAUGGUGCGCCGCUGCCGCGGAUCCGCUGCACCAGCCGGAACCAUGCACCUAGGUUCUCUGGCGGCACAAUGCGGACGAGGCGCUGGUCGGAGGGUGGCAGCCCCUCGGUGAGCGUCUCCAAGAUGACCUCUUGUGGGAGGCCCAGUUGUAGACCCAGCGCGGUCUUAUUCCGAUAGUAUUCUUCCAGGUUGGGCUGUCCGGCCAACUUCAUGGAGAAGUAUUGGGCAUACGUGGCCUCAUUGGUCUCCGGAUAGAGAUCCAGGAAGGUCUGUCUCACCUGGAUGUAAUGUUGGGUCUCCAUCCGAAGCCUCCUGAAGUGUUCUAGCGGUUUGUUGUUCAGGUAACGGGGUAGGCGGAGCACUUUUUCCGUGUUGGUGAGACCAUCCCAGUCUGUUUUCUGGUCAUAUGUCCGAAAGAACUGUGCGGCUGGGUAGGUCCCGUCGAAGCUCUGGACUUCUAUCUCCGUCCGAUGGGUCACGCGGUCGCUGGUGGUCUGAAGGGCAGAUAAACACGCCGCGAGGCGUGCCAAGACGGCCGGCAACUCUGCCGACGGAGGGGGGGGGUUCUAUUUUGGGAGAACUUACGGCGGGGUUGUUUUCUCCCUCUGCGGUGUAUUCCUCCGCGUCUUGCGUUUCGUUUUUCUCGUCCAUCCUGUCGACUCUCUGUGGUAUAUGGGAAAAGGAUCCUGAGAAUCUUAUCGACUCUCUAUAAUAUAAAAAAAAAUGCUUGUCGACUUCACUGUGAUAAAGUGCUUUGUCCUGAGAAUCCUCGGGAGUGGAUGGGAUUUUGUUUGUUUGGGCAGUCGUUAUCAAUGGCGGUGGAUGAAAAAAUCGGCACACUAUAUCGAUUAAUGAAUCACAAAACACCUCGGAAUAUUAAUCAUUGGCGGCUCGGGAGAGGAGAUGGAAGGAUUUUCGCGAUUAAAUUGGAUUGAGAUGACUCACAUCUUGGACCUCGAGGCACUACUUUUAGAAGAUCCACACACACGUCUUGACACACACGUUGCCGACCGAACUCUGGUUGCCCCGCCCCCUGGCUUGGGUCAUGUGGGACCCUGCUUGACCUUUGAUUGGUCCCUGUCUCUGUCGGCCAUGAUGGUAAAUUUGGUCGGGAAGAAGCUUGGCCUAACAUCCCAAUCUCUCAGGACAUUCAACUCUGGAAUAUGAGGGCCUCUUUGUUCUAAGUGACCUAGAUACACGACUUGGAUCUGUCGUUCUUUUCUCUUCUACUUCUUCCAUCUCCUCUUCCUUUGACUGCCAUCUUUAUUGAUUCCAUACAGAAUACAUUAUAUCCAACAUGGUACAUAAUUAUUUAUUAGACAAUAUUCUUUAUAAUAUUACAUAUAUAUGUUCUGAAUAUAGAGCAAUCCAUAGUAUUUGUAUAUUUUUAAAUAAGGCUUAUUUUGGAUUGUAAUAAUAUUAUUUAUUAAUCCGAUAUUUCGAUGGAUCAAUCUUCCAUCUUUUACGAGGUGUUUUGCCGUGAAGCACGCAGCAGGUCGCGUGCCCCAGGUGAGCCACUAGACGUCUUCCAAGAUUAUUGGGCGAUAAACCAUCUGAAACCAUAUAUAUGUAUAUUUAUCAAUUGUUUUAUAUAUUUAUAUCAAUUUAUUCAUAUAUUUAUUAUUAUAUAAUUUUAUUUAUUCAUAUUUAUAUUUAUUCUGUAUAUAAUCUUAUAUGGACUUUGAAAUAAAUCAGUUUCAAUCUCAAUCUCUCGAUAAAAAAAAUAUAUUAUUAAUGAUAAAAUUCGAUUUAAGAAUGUGCACAAAGUUAUAUAUGAAAAAAAAAAACAAUAGAAAAAAUAUAAAAGUGGGUCAGGUGUUGAUAUUAAAAAUAAAGAAAGAAUUUCCUGGCAACUAAAAAGCAUAUGUGCUCGUGGUCAGGAAAUGCCUUCUUUUUUUUAAUAUUAAACAAUAUAUAUAGACAAUACAAACAAUAAAUAUGUAAUAAUACGCAAUUCUGUUUUAUUUCAAUAAAACUACACACAAUAAUCUUUAGAGAUCCCCUUUUAAACUUACCAAACUCAAAAGCCUCCAAUUUGAAUUCCAAGUCUUUAAUUCAUUUCAGCAGUAAGAAGUCAAAUUAGGAAGGCAAACAGUACGUCUGAAAGCGCCAAGGGAAAAUGCGCGCUGCUUUGAAAACAAUUCAUUUAAAAACAUUUGCCCAGAUCAAACAGAAUCAUCUCGGAGCAGAGAGUCUGAGAGAUCAAUAUGAAAUAAAAUGCCAUUUCCCCGAAGAUUCUUCGCCACCAUAUUGGAUACCAUUAGAGAAAAAAAAAGUCUUUUAAUAUUAAACAAUGUCUUUUGGUUUAAUUCCAUUCCCACCUUAUUUAUGUUGAUGUAUUUCCUAUAUAUCCUUUGGUUGAAAGAAGAAAUUUAAAGUGCAAAUAAAAGCUAGGGGACACUCUAUAUUUGCCCAUUUUCCCAAAUGUCUCUCGAUUUUUGAAGUUUUUUUCGUGGAAAUUGGCUCUUGAUUUCAGGGGGAGAAAUGGCAAAGAUAAGUGAGUGUUUGGAAGAAUUUGGCGUUGUUAUCCCCGAGCGGAGAAAUUCCUUACUGUUUUUUAAAAAAUGGAAUAAAAUAUAAAAAGAAACUUUAUAUAGGAUUUCAAGGAAGCAAUAACAAAUAUGUUUAUACAUAGGUUCCUUGUUUAAUAUUUGAGAAGUAAUUGUUGUUCCAAUAUAUAAAUAGAGUGUUAUAUAGUUGGCUUCAUUAAAUCUUGUAAUUUGAAUUAUAAACGUAGUUGUGUGCCCUUAAUAUUUUCAUAAUGUCGAUAUUAAAUUAUUUAUGAAGAUUGAACAAUACAUAUGUUAGGUUUAUUAUUAUUAUUAUUAUUAUUGUAUUUUAUUAAUUAAUUAUAAUUCAUAUUCAUAGAAUUUUUGUUACUUAUCAUCAUUCUUUUUUUUUUUCUUCUUCUGUUUUCUUUUGUGUUAUAAAUACAACUAAAUCGCAUUAAAUCGUAGUGUAAUUCUCUUUUGUUGUUUGAAAUAAAUCAAUUGAAUCGAAUUGAGUCAGCUCGUUCUUUCUAGAAGAAACUUCAAAGAAAACAUGCUAACAAUAUAUGUAUUUUUGAAGGGAAAAGUGCCCUCUUCUUUUACAAAAAUAUACCUGAAGAGGCACCUCUCAUUUUAUUAUAAAUCAGAACGAUGUUUAUCACUCUAGUAGAAAACUUUAAUAGUGAUGAUAAAGAGAAUAACCCACAAUACCAGUUUUGGAAAAUUCAGACAAAAACCAACCUGUAUACCAUGGUUCGGACUAUGCCCUCAUCAGUACAGGGACAGCUUAAUUUUCAUAACAUUCGUGAGAUGUUGUACAAAAUUUGAAAUAUUUGACAAUUAAACAACUUUAUUGAUAUCUUAUAAUAACGUAUAGAAUCAAUAAGGAUAAGUUUCUUUAUUUGUAAAAUCAAUUCGAGCUUUCGGGCGCAAGCAGCCCUUCUACAGGAAUAUUGGAAAUAAUUUCAAGUAGACAUGUAUGUACACAUAUAGAUGAUAUUUUGCUUUGGUCUUGUAUAGCGUGAGUUGGAUCACAUGCCCACGUGUUUAUUGAUAUCUCCUCAAUCUUUACACUCAAAAAGAGUUAUAAGGUAAUAAAUAAUGGUAGGAAUGAAGAGAUAUAUUUACAAUCGACGUAAAUUUGAAAUAGCGCGUGAGAACGCUCUUGUAGCUUUAGAAUAAUUUUUAACGCUUUGCCAAAUGUUUUAAUUUUGUUCGCUCCUGACAAGGGCAAAAUAUUUUUGUCGAAACAUCGAGACAAUAAAAAGAUUUACUGGCCGAAGUGUCUUUAAUUUGAAGAAGAUCCUACCAGUGGGGUUAUGGAAUCGGUCGAAUUUACGAAAAAAUGAAAGCCAUAGCCCAAAACUAUGGUAUACAGUUGGCUUUUUGUCUGAAUUUGUUAAACCUGGUGCUGUGGUUCAUUCUUUAUUAUCAUUAGGGUAAUAAACAAAAUACAUCGUUUUGAUGUAUAAUAAAGGGAGAUAUGCUUCUUUAGGUACAUGAAUAUCAUCUUCCCGUAACUUUAAGUUAUAUUUACAGUAUAAGUGGGGAAGGAAAGCAUUCAUGCACAGAAUUUGCAUAUCUACUUUUUAUUUAACGCAUAAAAUUCAUAUAUUAGUGCAUUAUUUAACUCCGCCCUUGCCAGUCCCAAGCCCAGAUAAAAAGGAGGAGGGGGAACAGUAACAAGCUCACUAAAAAACCUGGACUCAGCUGUCCCGGCUGAUAGUACCCUGUAAGGGCUCCUAAUCCAGGGAUACAGGAUCAGCAGUGUUUGUACUCCAUGUUAGGAGCAGCUGCACAUGGCGUCUGUUCCUCAUGUCAGAGACGGCCAUUUAUUUUGGAGCUAAGUCGGCCUGCCACUGAGUAGUUCUCCCAUUCUUAAUGACAAAGGCAGACGCAUUCUACUUCACCAAGUGUGGAGAUAAGAAAGAA